rnacentral:rRNA from 1 species
UACGUGGGGUGCAAGCGUUGUCCGGAAUUAUUGGGCGUAAAGAGCUCGUAGGCGGUUUGUCGCGUCUGGUGUGAAAAUCCAGGGCUUAACCCUGGACCUGCAUCGGGUACGGGCAGACUAGAGUGCGGUAGGGGAGAUCGGAAUUCCUGGUGUAGCGGUGAAAUGCGCAGAUAUCAGGAGGAACACCGGUGGCGAAGGCGGAUCUCUGGGCCGUAACUGACGCUGAGGAGCGAAAGCAUGGGGAGCGAACAGG